CACGAACGCUGGCGGCGUGCUUAACACAUGCAAGUCGAACGGAAAGGCCCUGCUUUUGUGGGGUGCUCGAGUGGCGAACGGGUGAGUAACACGUGAGUAACCUGCCCUUGACUUUGGGAUAACUUCAGGAAACUGGGGCUAAUACCGGAUAGGAGCUCCUGCUGCAUGGUGGGGGUUGGAAAGUUUCGGCGGUUGGGGAUGGACUCGCGGCUUAUCAGCUUGUUGGGGGGGUAGUGGCUUACCAAGGCUUUGACGGGUAGCCGGCCUGGGAGGGUGACCGGCCACAUUGGGACUGAGAUACGGCCCAGACUCCUACGGGAGGCAGCAGUGGGGAAUAUUGCCCAAUGGGCGGAAGCCUGAUGCAGCAACGCCGCGUGCGGGAUGACGGCCUUCGGGUUGUAAACCGCUUUCGCCUGUGACGAAGCGUGAGUGACGGUAAUGGGUAAAGAAGCACCGGCUAACUACGUG
rnacentral:rRNA from 1 species